GUCUCUAGGGACCAGAAUGGUGCAAAUUAAAAAAAAAAAAAUUGCCUCUGGCUGGCUGCCUGGCUGCCUGGAACAUCCUUCACUGCUGGAAAUGACUCUGGAGUGAGCUGGGAUGAUUAACUGAGGGCACCUGCACUUGGAACUCUGAAGCUGGUGAACAGAAUGUAUCUGAGAUUGAACGUAAACAGUUGCAGGCUUAAUAUGUAACCGUGGAGAGAGGAGGCAACCUACUGGCUUUUUUCCCAGGAGGGGGCAGCUCUCACAGCAGGGCCCGUCUGCCUCAGCAAAUUGACAGAGGAUGGGUCCCAUCUCCCCAUACUCCCCUCCACACACAUGCCUGCUAGGCUUUUUUUUUUUUUAACUUUUUCUAGAUGCUACCUCUUUUCUUAUGUCUUUGCAAGCAUCAAGUUGGCCUGGCUCCAUAUUUGCUAUUCUGCAGUAUCUCCCCAAGGUGCAUUUGAAGUCACUAAUGUAGAGGAAGUAAAUGGAUUCUGUAACAUUAGUGAAGGCAAGACUACCCUAUGCAGGAGUUGAUGGCCCAUUAACGAAAAAGGAAAUGGUCCUAUGUGUCAAACAUUGGCAGCUAGUUGCUCAGUUUUUGGCCUAGGCCAAGAGACCUUAACCAUGAAUACAAUUCUGGUAUUAGCAAAGGGAAAUAUAUAUAUAAUCUCCACUUUGAACUUUAAUAGGACUUCAUGUGGAACAACUUGACUUUUGAGGGUUUUCAUAAUUAUGUUUUCUCGAGGUGAGAUCUGUGGAAAGGAGUCCAAGUGUUUGGGGUGGCUGUUGCCCCAUCUCUUGGUCUUAGUGCUUUCUGAUGCUGCUUCUUACUCUUAUUUCACUUUCUAAGAAUGGGAAUCUUUUUAAAUAACAGCAUUUACCUCCAUCCUUUUCAAUUUGUAAGACUCCCAAGUUUGAUGUUUAUUUAACCGGGCAAGCAUUACAUACAUGGUUUGAUUCAGCAGCAACAAUUUGCAUUUAUUACUGGGUAUUUAAUGAUUUUUCUUUCCUUAAGAAAGUGAAUUUGUUACUUGUAGAGACAGAAGGCAAGAAGGCUUUUUGAGUUUGAAUCAGAGAAAUCAGUCAUUUUUGGCUAUGAAGUGAACCUGUGGCAGUGAAAGGGGUCUUGCAUUUUUAAAUUCAUGCCUGAAUUAGUGAGUGACACAAAAUGACAUGGAUUGCUGAGUGAGUGCAGGGAGCAAGGAAUGGCUUGCUGUUUUUGUUUUCUUAUGGUGGGUCUCCCUGACUACCUCUGACAGAUAGAUGACACAUGUACAGGUGUCCCCAUUAUUCUCAGGGGAUGAGACCCCCCAGUGGUACCUGAAACCGUGGAUCAUACCACAGCCCCAACACCACACACACAUGCUUUUUCCUAU
rnacentral:lncRNA from 1 species